CAGAAUCAAAGCCAAACACAAGAUGUCACACAGGAAUAAACUGAAGAGCAAGCAGUGCAGAGCCAGGAAUGAAAUGGCCCUGACUUAAUGGUCCAAAUUCAAGGUGGCAAGUCAGAGCUAGGGCCCAUUUAGGAAGUGUGAAUGCCCGGGCAGGAUGUAAAACAACAAGGCAGGCUGACCUGCGGGUGGUCAUUCCAAGCCAGCAUUUUUUAUCCACACUCAUCAGCUCAGUAUUCUCUCCUUUACUCAUCCAAAAAUUAAGAAAUUUUUGGCCAGGCAUGGUGGCUCAUGCCUGUAAUCCGAGCACUUUGGGAGGCUGAAGCUGGUGGAUCACUGGAGGUCAGGAGUUCCAGGCCAGCUUGACCAACAUGGCAAAACCCCGUCUCUACUAAAAAUACAAAAAUUAGCCAGACGUGGUGGCAGGUACCUGUAAUCCCAGCUAGGGGAAUUGGUUGAACCCGGGAGGCAGAGGUUGCAGUGAGCUGAGAUCAUACCACUGUACUCCAGCCUGGGCGACAGAGCAAGACUCUGAAAAAAUAAAAUAAAAAUAAAAAUAAAAUUCCAGUAAUUGGAAAGUGGAACUAGAAUUUUAGCUUCCUUGAAAACCCUGAACAUUUAGCUUCCUAUGAAACUCAAGCAUGCUCAAUCUCUUUCUCUUCCAUUAGGCAAAAGGACUUGUAAGUAUCAUGCUCUUUCUCUUCGAAGAGCUGGAGAAAUCAGAGGCUCUGAACCUCAUGGAAGAACGCACAGGCAAACCAGGCAAAAGCUGGAGUUUCAACUGCAGUCAGCCGGCCUUCACUUUAUCUUAUGCUGCCUUUGCCCUCCAGAGAGGUUUUGUUCCCAAAAAAUCUCCGAAAGGUGCCCAGCUAUGACAUCCAGCACUUCAUUUGUUGAUUCGAAGACCUGGGUUAAAAUACCAGCUCUGCCAUUUCAUUCAAGAUUCCCCUGAAUUCACAUUUAUUGGACACUAUGGUAUGUCGAAACUGUGCUCUGAUGAGGGAAUGAAAAGCUGAAUCAGGUGUGACUACUGCUUUCAAGGUGCUGCAGACUUUAUUGUGUUUCCCCAAGUUCAUAUGUUGAAGCCAUAACCUCCAGUGUGGCUGCAUUGGCAGAUAGGGCCUCUAAGUGGGUAGUGGAGGUUACAUGUGUCAUCGGGGUGCGGCCCUGAACCAAAAGGAUUAGUGUUCUUAUAAGAAGAGAUGCCAGAAAGAAAACAAAAAGAAAAAGAAAAGAAGAAAAGACAGGCCAGGUGCAGUGGCUCUCACCUAUAAUCCCAGCACUUUGAGAAACUGAGGCAGGAGGAUUGUUCAAACCCAGGAGUUUGAGACCAGCCUGGGCAAUAUAGUAAGACCCCAUCUCUACAAAAACUUUUUAAGAAAGAAAGAAACUGGCUGGGCAUGGUGGCUCAUGCCUGUAAUCCCAGCACUUUGGGAGGCCAAGGAGGGCAGAUCACAACGUCAGGAGAUCGAGACCAUCCUGGCUAACACAGUGAAACCCCGUCUUUACUAAAAAUACAAAAACAAAAUUAGCCAAGCGUGGUGGUGCAUGCCUGUAGUCCCAGCUACUCGGGAGGCUAAGGUGGGAGAAUGGCGUGAACCCGGGAGGUGGAGCUUGCAGUGAGCUGAGAUGGUGCCACUGCACUCCACCCUGGGUGACAGAGCAAGACUCUGUCAAAAAAAAAAAAAGAAAGAGAGAGAAAGAAAGAAGAAAGAGAAAGAGAAAGAAAAAGAAAGAGAGAAAGAGAAAGAAGAAAGAAAGAAGAAAGAAAAAGAAAGAAAGAAAGAAAAAAAAAAAGAAAGAAACAAAGAAAGACAAAGAAAGAAAGACAAAAGACACCAAAGCUAAUUAUUUCUCUCCAAGAACACAUACAAAGGAAAGGUCUUGCAAGGCCAUAGCGAGAAGGUGGCAGUCUGCAAGUCAGGAAGAGAGCCCUCAUCAGAAACUGAAUCCCUGCCUACAGAAUGUGAGAUAUAAAUGUCUAUUGUUUAAGCUCCCUAUCUGUGGUACCUCAUCAUGGCAGUCUAAGCUGACUGAGACACAUGAAGAUCAGAGCUUAGAAGUAGGAACAGGCGAGUUGGGUGGGGCAGGCUGUUUUGUUUGCAGGACGUGUCUCAGCUCACAUCGGGUUGGUAGGUCUUCCUCUGCAGCUGUUGUGACCAUGAAGCAAGCAGGCCCUCAGGAACCUGGCCUUACUGCCAGGCCUCACAGGGGGAGUCGAGGGACAGGAUGGCCACUCUGUGUCCAGAACAUGGGUAACAACUAGUGAACAGGUCGAUGGGAGACUAGGGUGACAAGUGACUGGGAAGUCUGAAACUACUGAAGCCUGUGUGGGUCUACUGAAGGGAUUUGACAGGGAGACGAUAUGGUCCCAGCCAUGGAGAGGCCAGCCUGGGCUGCUCUGUGGUCCCCGAGACCCUGGCCUGAGGGUGCACCAGCCCCAGCAUCAAUCAGAUCUCAUGGUGUUUCUAGGAUUCAAGGCCCUCAUGGAGCCCCUGAAAGCAAGGCUCACUUUCCUAAGCUCUUCAAAGCUCAAGGAGCCAACGGCAGACCUGACACAUCCUGCAAUGCUCUCAGCAUGGGCCUGCUUAGCCUGCUCCCUCCUCAGCCAGUUUGCCCCAGAAACUAAAAAUAAAAUUGACAACAGAGGAGCAUUAAACAGCAAAAUCUAGCUGAGGGAGGAGCAGAGGCUUUGAACAAGGACAACUGGCACACACCGUGGUCACCUCUGGUUGUCCCGUCCUCCCUGGGCGUUGG
rnacentral:lncRNA from 1 species